GAUGAGCGCUGGCGGCGUGCCUAAUACAUGCAAGUCGAGCGAACGGACGAGAAGCUUGCUUCUCUGAUGUUAGCGGCGGACGGGUGAGUAACACGUGGAUAACCUACCUAUAAGACUGGGAUAACUUCGGGAAACCGGAGCUAAUACCGGAUAAUAUUUUGAACCGCAUGGUUCAAAAGUGAAAGACGGUCUUGCUGUCACUUAUAGAUGGAUCCGCGCUGCAUUAGCUAGUUGGUAAGGUAACGGCUUACCAAGGCAACGAUGCAUAGCCGACCUGAGAGGGUGAUCGGCCACACUGGAACUGAGACACGGUCCAGACUCCUACGGGAGGCAGCAGUAGGGAAUCCUCCGCAAUGGGCGAAAGCCUGACGGAGCAACGCCGCGUGAGUGAUGAAGGUCUUCGGAUCGUAAAACUCUGUUAUUAGGGAAGAACAUAUGUGUAAGUAACUGUGCACAUCUUGACGGUACCUAAUCAGAAAGCCACGGCUAACUCCGUG
rnacentral:rRNA from 1 species